rnacentral:rRNA from 1 species
AACGAACGCUGGCGGCAGGCUUAACACAUGCAAGUCGAGCGCCCCGCAAGGGGAGCGGCAGACGGGUGAGUAACGCGUGGGAAUCUACCCAUCUCUACGGAAUAACGCAUGGAAACGUGUGCUAAUACCGUAUACGUCCUUCGGGAGAAAGAUUUAUCGGAGAUGGAUGAGCCCGCGUUGGAUUAGCUAGUUGGUGGGGUAAAGGCCUACCAAGGCGACGAUCCAUAGCUGGUCUGAGAGGAUGAUCAGCCACACUGGGACUGAGACACGGCCCAGACCCUUACGGGAGGCAGCAGUGGGGAAUAUUGGACAAUGGGCGCAAGCCUGAUCCAGCCAUGCCGCGUGAGUGAUGAAGGCCCUAGGGUUGUAAAGCUCUUUCACCGGUGAAGAUAAUGACGGUAACCGGAGAAGAAGCCCCGGCUAACUUCGUGCCAGCCGCCGCGGUAAUAC